rnacentral:rRNA from 1 species
AUGCGUUUGGAGGCCAUUCAGCUGUUAGAUGAACCGGACAUCUUUAGAUGGAAGUUGCAUCGGAAUGGCAAGUUUACAGUCAAAUCCAUGUAUGAUGCAAUGGUUCAUUGUGAUGUCCCGGUUGAUAACAGGAAAUUGUGGAAGCUUAAAAUCCCUCUAAGAGUGAAGAUAUUCCUCUGGUUCCUAAUCAGAGAGGUGAUCUUGACUAGAGAUAAUCUGGCACGACGCAACUGACAAGGCACCAAGACAUGUGUCUUUUGCCAACAUAACGAGUCUAUUAAACACUUAUUUUUUGAGUGUAAGUUUGCUCGGUUGGUUUGGGCCAUAGUUCAAGUAACUUCAAAUUUAUACCCCCCACGUAGUGCACGUAACAUGUUCGGCAACUGGUUGAGGGGUAUUGAUAAAAAAAAUUCUGCAUAUAAUCUUGUGGGGGCAGCUGCCUUAUGCUGGGCAUUGUGGCUUACCAGGAAUGAUGUGGUUUUUAAUAAAAAAAUAUGUUUCAUCUCCUAUGCAGGUUAUUCAUGUAUGUAG